rnacentral:miRNA from 1 species
UUGGGUUGACCAAAAAGUUCAUUUAAGUUUUUCUGUAACAUCUUACAGAAAAACCCAAAUGAACUUUUUGGCCAACCCA